GGGACAUUGGCCUCAAGCAACCCAGUGCUUGCCGGACGGCCGCAUCUACAUUGCCUCCCGGGCCGAGUCGUGCCCCGUGUCCGAGUACCCCAAGCACAGGGUUUCCACUAUUUAGAACUACAUUCAGCCUUAUGUUUGCAUUCUUCGGUAGCGUCUACCUGAGGGAAGGAGCUGGAAGAGGCGGUGACCAGGAUGUGGAGGGUCAAAGAGGAUUUUGCAUGCUCUUGUCUAUGUUCUGGCAGCGUGCAAGUCCUCAAGGCAGCACCAAACCAGACUGUGAUGGAAGAACACAGGACUGAUUUGAGGACUGCUGUAUAGAACUGCUCAACAGCUCCUGUGGCAGGCCGUGCUUCCUCAGAAGCCGCAGGAAGUAUAUUCUCUGACUGACUGAAUGAUUGACUUGACAAACAAAAUUCAGUUUGAUAAAGAAAACACAUUUAAAGUUUUCCAACAAAACAUACAGAAAAAAUUAUGAGACUGUUAAUUUAAAAUAAAGAUGCCUUUAAGAGCUGCAUUGCUCAGGUGGUAAAGAGGUCGUCUCCCAACCCAAAAGUUGAGUUCGAUCCUCGGCCCUUGUGACUAUGUCCAAGUGUCUUGAGCAAGAUACUGAACCCCCAGUUGCUCCUGAUGCUGCUUUAUCAUUAGGUACAUGAGGGGACAGUGUCAAAGCGCUUUGAGGACCUUGAUGGUCGAAAAGCACUAUACAAGUGAAAGCCCAUUCACCAUAUUAAACAGUAUAUGUGGUGUACUGCUGUACCUCACUUUCUAUUGUUAUUCUUAAAUUAGCUUCACAAAAGAGAUUGUAAUCCCCCCCCCCCACAAACCACUGUGCAGGCAAGCCAUGAAUCUCUCAAAUGAGGUUUUAGAAUGAAAUUUAACACCCAAAUCCAACACUCAUAUAUCUAAAUAAAUGAAACUGUGGCAAAGGUUUCGUUCUAUUUCCCAUUGAAAGGUACAGUUAAGAAGUCCUUGGUUCUUGUAUACAAUGAAAAUCUUCCCCACAAGACUUGAACAAGUAUUUGAUAAAUUAAAGAAGACAUCAAUGUUUUAUACACAAUUGCAACAAAUGUAAAAACAAUGCAUAAGACAAGGACAUUUCUACAGCAAGCGAGGUCCAUAAAGACAAGGUUGCCGUGACUGGCCCACACAGCCUGACAUCAACCCCAUUUAACACCUUUGAGAUAAACUGAUAUAAUGAUGAUAUGAUGAUAAUGGCCACUGAUGGUGUAGUGGUACACUCGCCUGACUUUGGUGCGGGCAGCGUGGGUUCAGUCCCCACUCAGUGACGGUGUGAAUGUGAGUGCGAAUGGUUGUCCAUGUCUAUAUGUGCCCUGCGACUGACUGGCGACCAGUUCAGGGUGUUGUCCGCCUUUCGCCCAAAGUUAGCUGGGAUAGGCUCCAGCGCCCCGCGACCCUAACCAGAAUAAGCGGUGUUGAAAAUGGAUGGAUGGAUGAUGAUAAUGAUAUGAGAUAAAGAUUGUGAAUAAAGCCAACUCAUCCACCAUACAGGAACUAAUCGUGUCAGCCCUAUUUUCAGUUACUGUAGAUGUAAUGGGCAGGUGUCCCAAUAAUUUCCCCAUAUAGUACAUUCCCCUCAGUUAAUGCUUUGUGCACUGAACCAGAUAACAAUCUCAAACCUUUUGGCGACUUCUGUGUGACAACAAGCAGGAAGCAGCACAUUUAUGUGUCAUGUCUGUAAUAAGUAGUUUGGUUGGCAGCAGGUGUC